rnacentral:rRNA from 1 species
ACACGUAGGGGGCGAGCGUUGUUCGGAAUCAUUGGGCGUAAAGGGCGCGCAGGCGGCGAGGCAAGUCCGGUGUGAAAGUGCUCGGCUCAACCGAGUGAUGCGCUGGAAACUGCCCUGCUUGAGUACAGGAGGGGACGUCGGAAUUCCAGGUGUAGGGGUGAAAUCUGUAGAUAUCUGGAAGAACACCGGUGGCGAAGGCGGACGUCUGGCCAUGUACUGACGCUGAGGCGCGAAGGUGCGGGGAGCGAACAGGUUUAGAUACCCUGGUAGUCCGCACAGUAAACGAUGUGCACCAGGUGGCGGGGGGUAGCCCUCGGUACCGAAGCCAACGCAUUAAGUGCACCGCCUGGGGAGUAUGCUCGCAAGGGUGGAACUCAAAGGAAUUGACGGGG